rnacentral:tRNA from 1 species
GCCCGGAUGGCGGAAUUGGCAUACGCGGCUGACUUAAAAUCAGCUGCCCGAAAGGGCUUGUGGGUUCGAGUCCCACUCCGGGCA